rnacentral:rRNA from 1 species
ACAAAGGGCAGCAAGUUCGCGAGGACAAGCAAAUCCCAUAAACCGUAGCUCAGUUCAGAUCGUAGGCUGCAACUCGCCUACGUGAAGGAGGAAUCGCUAGUAAUCGCAGGUCAGCAUACUGCGGUGAAUACGUUCCCGGGCCUUGUACACACCGCCCGUCACACCAUGGAAGUUGGCCACGCCCGAAGCCGUUACUCCAACCCUUGUGGAGGAGGACGUCGAAGGUGGGGCUGAUGACUGGGGUGAAGUCGUAACAAGGUAGCCGUACCGGAAGGUGCGGCUGGAUCACCUCCUAAC